GAAGGUAAGCUAACAAACUUCUGCUCUGAGUUACUAAAGAUGCUACAUGCUAGCUCUCCACUAGCCUAAGUUAACACAACAAGGAAACGUUAUUGGAGCGAUAAGUAAGGUCGUGCGUGUUUUUCGUGUAUGAAAUGAAAAAAAAAACAGUUUAUAUGUUAUUCUCAGUUUUAAUCAUGCAGUCAGGAGAGGUCACGGUUAGGUCCGAGUGUUUCAGGUCAAUGAGGAAAAACCAGAAGCCCCACUGUCUGAGUGUAGGGAAACGUUACCCUGCAGGUUCAGUGCAGGAUUGAUUCAGGUUCAAAAGAAGACUGUUCAUGUUUUUAAACGUCACAUUUUUGCGAGUCAUAUCAUUGCUUUUAGUUUGAUAACAGGUUAAUGACAUGCCUGAACUACGUGUGUCAUGUGGUAUCAGAGAUACAAUGUGUCCCAGAAAGAAUGUAGUAAGUAAAGUUUGUAUACAUAGCAUGUCACAGAAAGUCAAACAUUAGAUGACUCGCAGAAGCACAACGUUGUUUACAGUUAUUUUAUUUGUUUCCAUUACUUGUUCUACUCUUCUAUUUUAAAAUGAGUUAAGUGAAGUUAAUCAUCAAUGUGCAGCCUUGUGAUGUCAUGUGGCAGCUCAACUCUACCAGACAGCACAUUUCUCCCAGCUGAAACUUACAUCGCCCCCCCCCCCCCCCAGUGUUGAGCUGCACAGAAACUGAACAACAGUGGCACAAAACGGGGACCAAGGUAUUAAACCAGGUCCAGUUAAUGACAUGGUCAUCAUAUCAGCCAGACCAAGAGAGAGGAGACCGGUAGAAUGAACAAGCAGGCUGUUCCAGUCCACCGCUGUGAAGAACGAGUGCUGCUUGACUUCAAAAGCACCACCUGGAGGGGCGGAGGGCAGAAAGGAGGUGGGUGCGUGCAUAAACAAGCAGCAGGUGGAGCAGAAGGGAGGUGAAGCCUGCUGACCUACUGUGACCCUGAAUGAAGUUGACUGAUUGGGGUGAACUUAACCCCCGAGCAGAAAUACACAACAGCUAUUCUCCUGGGUCAGCGACUAACAUUCAGGGGUGGGUGACCAUUGGAGGAACUUCCUAUGGAGGAGCAGGAAGGUGAAAAAUAGCACUGGAAGUGUCCUCUAAUGCAAGCUUCCCUGCAAACAGUCAGCGUCACAUGAUCAUGCCUAUAACGGUCCAGACUACUUCUGUAGAACGUCCAGACUAGGUCCUUGCAGUUCUGCAGUGAAAAUGUUGCAUAAUUCUAAUUAUUUGCAGAAUAUUACAUUGAGUAGUUAAUUUAGACGAUGAGUACCAGGAAAAAACUCUUUAUUUGAUAACAUUAGACGGAUAAUGGUGGUCCUUAAGGUGCAUGCAGAACUUUUACAGCCCUCACUGUUUACUACGGGUAGGACCCUGGUUAUUUUCCUGCAGAAUUAAACAAUGUAUUAUUUUCCUAAAGUUUAAGAUGGAUUAUUAUUCUGUUAAUUAUGGAUGGUGUCAUUUAAGUUAUUUAGAAAUCAUGUAAACCCAGACGCUUUACCUGAUUUCUACAGCAGCGGCUCAUGAUUAAACAUAAAACCACAGAGUAAAAUUCAAAAAUACUUUAUUAAUCCCAGAGGGAAAUUAGAGUUUCAGUAAACACAAUUCUGAGAUCAGACAUACAUACAUAGACGCAUGACAAGAAUUGGUGACUGUGGUCAUUCGCAACCCGAGUCGCGCUACCGUAAUAGAUCGAGAGGGUUUAUAUGAGGAUAGAGUCAGAGGGAGGGAGAAAAAGGCGCUUCAGAGUUAACCUCCACAGGGAGGGCAGCUCUGCUAUGCAAAAAAACACCUCAGACAGAAAUCCAACAGACUUCAGACAUUACACAACAUAAGUGUCCACUAGGUGGGGAGGUAGGGUUGGGACUCUCCUCACUUCAGUGCGUGCAGCCGCAUGGGGCAGCGCUCCGUUUGGACAGGGGAGGGAGAUAACGGGUUAACCCUUUAGUGUCCACAUCAAGAAAAAAAGGCUAUAUGAAAUGUUAUUUUUAGCAUUUUUUUUUAUUUGAGCAAAUAAAAGCAAGAUUUAGAUAAUCAUGUUAAGUUUAUAAUUAUGUGAGACAACUAGGGAUGGGUACUUUUGACAUUUGAAUCGAUUCGGUACUAAUUCCCGGUACCUACGAAUCGAUACCGGUACUUAACGGUACCAAUUUUCGAUACUUUUGAGUGUUUA